rnacentral:rRNA from 1 species
AUUGAACGCUGGCGGCAGGCCUAACACAUGCAAGUCGAGCGGAUCGGCGUCCGGGUGAGUAAUGCUUGGGAAUCUGCCUGGUAGUGGGCGAUUACGUCCGGAAACGGGCGCUAAUGCCGCAUUCUAUCAGUUUAGGCUAGGUCGGAUUAGCUAGUUGGGGGGGUAAAGUCCUACCAAGGCGACGAUCCGUAACUGGUCUGAGAGGAUGAUCAGUCACACUGGAACUGAGACACGGUCCAGACUCCAACGGGAGGCAGCAGUGGGGAAUAUUGGACAAUGGGCGAAAGCCUGAUCCAGCCAUGCCGAGUGUGUGAAGAAGGUCUUCGGAUUGUAAAGCAAUUUAAGUUGGGAGGAGUUACCAAAAGAAUAAGCACCGGCUAACUUCGUGCCAGCAGCCGCGGUAAUUC